rnacentral:rRNA from 1 species
AAGACCUUGCGCUUUUGGAGCGGCCGAUGUCUGAUUAGCUUGUUGGUAAGGUAAAAGCUUACCAAGGCUUCGAUCAGUAGCUGGUCUGAGAGGACGGCCAGCCACACUGGGACUGAGACACGGCCCAGACUCCUACGGGAGGCAGCAGUGGGGAAUUUUGGACAAUGGGGGCAACCCUGAUCCAGCCAUGCCGCGUGAGUGAAGAAGGCCUUCGGGUUGUAAAGCUCUUUCAGCCGGAACGAAACGGUUACGGUUAAUACCCGUGACUACUGACGGUACCGGAAGAAGAAGCACCGGCUAACUACGUGCCAGCAGCCGCGGUAAUACGUAGGGUGCAAGCGUUAAUCGGAAUUACUGGGCGUAAAGCGUGCGCAGGUGGUUUUGUAAGUCAGAUGUGAAAUCCCCGGGCUUAGCCUGGGAACU